AUGUAUCAGCAAGCUAAGAGCGCCCGCGUCAACAGCAAAGCCCAACUUCCAUUGUGCUUGAAACUGCCUGCUGCUAUGUGUUUUGGCACGGGGAGAGUCCUUGGGGAGAAGAAGCUUCUCACAUCCGGUGCUGCUCCAACUGACAGGAGCAGGAACACCGCUCUGUUGCUGCAUUGGAUUGAUACGCGCUCCUCUUCGAGGCGUAAGAAGCCAGAAGAGGCGAAGAUUGCGAGGUCGAUUACCCUGAGGAUGCCUUUAAAAGAAAAAUCAGUGUCACCCUUUUGUACUUACUGUAUACAUGAACGUGCACUGUAA
rnacentral:rRNA from 1 species